UUUUUAAAGGGCCGCGGUAUUCUGACUGUGCAAAGGUAGCAUAAUCGUUAGUUUUUUAAUUGGAAUCUUGUAUGAAUGGUUUGACAAAAGAAAAUCUGUCUUUAUAAUUAUUUAUUGAAUUUAACUUUUAAGUGAAAAGGCUUAAAUAAAUUAAAAAGACGAUAAGACCCUAUAAAGCUUAAUAUUAAAUUUUUAUUUAAUUAAAUUUUAAAUUAUAAUAAAGAUUUGGUAAAUAAAUUUUAUUUUGUUGGGGUGAUAAUGGUAAAAUGAUUAUUAACUGUUAAUUUUUUUAGACAAAAAUAAAUGAAUAAUAAUUUGUUGUAAAGGAUCCUGUAUUAAAGAUUAAAAGUUUAAGUUACUUUAGGGAUAACAGCGUUAUUUUUUUUGAGAGUUCUUAUCGAGAAAAAAGUUUGCGACCUCGAUGUUGAAUUAAAAUAUCUAUAUAAUUGUAGCAGUUAUAUAAGAAGGUCUGUUCGACCUUUAAAAUUUUACACGAUU
rnacentral:rRNA from 1 species